rnacentral:rRNA from 1 species
UGGGGAAUAUUGGACAAUGGGCGCAAGCCUGAUCCAGCAAUGCCGCGUGUGUGAAGAAGGCCUGCGGGUUGUAAAGCACUUUCAGUAGGGAAGAAAAGCUCAGGGUUAAUACCCCUGGGUCUUGACGUUACUUACAGAAGAAGCACCGGCUAACUCCGUGCCAGCAGCCGCGGUAAUACGGAGGGUGCGAGCGUUAAUCGGAAUUACUGGGCGUAAAGCGCGCGCAGGCGGCUAGAUCAGUCGGAUGUGAAAGCCCUGGGCUUAACCUGGGAACUGCGUUCGAUACUAUCUGGCUAGAGUAUGGUAGAGGGAAGCGGAAUUCCGGGUGUAGCGGUGAAAUGCGUAGAUAUCCGGAGGAACACCAGUGGCGAAGGCGGCUUCCUGGACCAAUACUGACGCUCAGGCGCGAAAGCGUGGGGAGCAAACAGGAUUAGAUACCCCCGUAGUCC